UCCUUAGCAUCAGACAUCUAGAAGGUGAUUUCAGAAGUCAACAGCUUGAUGACCAGAUAAGCCUGCAAUUGCCAGCACCUGUUUCAAGGAUUUGAGAUCUUCAUACAAGCAGUUACCUUGGUCAUCUCCUUUGGUCUCUUCACCUGACACUGUGCUCUGCUUGGACGUAUUUAUAACAGACAUUUUACAUCUACUCUCUGACACGUCAUGGUGCUGAAUAGAAAUUACCUUGGGAUACUGAGUUGCAGAGAGGUCAAUGGCUCUGUGCGUCAUGUGCUGUAGGUGUGCAAUAGAUGUGACCCAGUGUCAAGGUGGGCGUCAGAGCAGCAGACUGCUGGAGAUCCCAGGAGGAGAGCGUGACACCGACAAAUUGCACUUACUGCUGAGCAGAGGAUGUGUCACUAUAUGUGUAAGAGAUACCUAUGCCCUGCAGAGAAGUCCUGCCCUGAAGCCCUCUGAGAUAUGUUUGUCCCAGCGCAGAGGAGGCUAUGAGGGAUUAGCAGUGUGUCACCACAUGCAGCACAGUGAGCAAUGGUAUGCUGUGUUUGACAAGUUUUUUUCCUGUUCAGCUUUCUUCUUGGAUGAGCAAAUUAAACUCUGAUUCAGAGUGGCAGGAUUUGCAGUACCCAAAGCAAACACACACAGCAGACAGUGAUAUUGGCUCUUACUGCCAUUCUGAGUACCAAUUUCUUACCAAUUUGGGAUUCCCUCCUUGAGAUAGCCUGUUUCCAUUGCCUAUAUCAAUACCUCACCCCUGGGGCUUUUCAGGGAUUUCACUUUGAGAGUAGUUCAUCUAUUUGGAGAAAACUGGCAAUGGCUACAGGCAAACAUCAGCAGCUUGUCAGCUCUGCCAGCAGCAUGGCACUCAUCUGGAGGCUGUGAGAAGGGAAUGUUGUGCAGGAAUUUGUUUGCAACAGACGAGGUCUGCAGGGAGAGGCAGCAACUUCACUCCAGGACUACUUUAACAGAGAAGAAAAAUCCUCAGUCUUGUUUUCUGUCAUAUAGAUCUGACACUCAGGUAUGAUCAUUAGAGGAAGAAAAUAUAUCUCUGAAGUCUGCAGGGGAGGAGACCAAGGGGUUAAAAGCAUGUGAGGAGUGUGCAGCAAGGGGAACCAGCACAGAGGAAAAAGCUGUUCUGAUGCAGUUCUGAGCAUCACAACUUCUUUCCUUAGUUUAAAACCUGACCAUGGACUCUUGGAUUUGGGGUCAGGAAAGCAGCAGCAUUAAUGCUUGUUUACACUCCUGAAAGUAUUCUCUUCACCUUUCCCUUUUGCCUUUGCUCAAUGCAGCCCUUCCACUGUACUUCUCCACAAUGCAAAUCUCAGGGGAUGGCAAAACUGGGAGAGGCAAGAGCUGGCAAAGCAGGGGGAGACAUUCCAGCCGUGCUCAGCCCUCUUCCGAUCGACUGCCCACAAGAAUAUUUAAUAACAAGGUAUACUCUUAAAAAGAAGAAGAGGAUGAUGAAGAAAAAAAGCUUUAGAAGAAGACUGCAGAGCUCAGGAGCAGUGUUCAGUGUAGACAGGGAUACACUCUGCUUAACAGGCAGGAGGAAUACACUCUGCUCCCUGAGUGCACAGUGUGCUGAAGCAUUUCUCUGCACCGUAACUCACAAAAACACUGCUUCCAACUUCGCAUUAUAUGGCACAUGUGAGUUUCACAGAAGCCCCUGCCACCCUGUCAGCUGCCCCGCACCUCCCUUAUUUCCUCUCCCCGGUCUUGCUUAUUGCCAGGUGACACCCACAGAUUCCAAGAGGCCUCUCUGCCCGUAGCAGCUGCUUGCCCCAUGAACACGCAGCGUUAUCCUCGAAGGAGUUCGGGCAAGAAAGGAUCACCCCCGGGGUCACCGCGCCGAAGAGCACACACCGGGGGGCGCUGCGAGCCUGCGGCACAGCUCCGGGGGUCGGACAGGAGGGGAGCCGGGCAGCGGAGCGAAAGGACUGGAGGUGGGAUGCGGGGCAGCUCGCUCGCCCCCGAUUUAAGGGGGCACAGCUGAGCGCAGCCGCUUGUCCCAGAGCGCUGACGACAAAAUAAGAAAACAAAUUCCCACCGCCCACCUUCUAAAGAAAUCUGUGGCGUUCCUGCUCCCCGACAGCAAAAACUGUUCCAGAGGUGCUUCCCGGCCUCGCCCAUGCUGUGUUCCUUCUCCACCCGGGAACGACGUUUCCGUGUCACCUCUGCUCACAGUGCUUGUCCCUCCUGCCCCAUCCCGCAGCAUUGCACACUGGAGCCGUCGACUUUUGCACCUGCGAACGCUCCGCGGCAGCGUUUUGCUUUUCGCAGUCUGAAAGCCGGGAAUGUCGCAGUGCUGAGCCGCAGGUGACUCCCACGAGAGAUGCCCGUCACCCGUCGGCGGCAGCUGCAGCACUCCGAGCACAGAGCUCUAGGGGACUGUCCACUGUCUGAAGAGAAAGGCAGAUUCCUGGUUUGUUUCAAACUCUACAAUUAUAAAAUGGAGUUUCCUCAUUUAGAAUGCUCCGGUAAAGCUCCUAUCACUUGCUGCUAUUUCCCUAAUGCCAUUCUGAAAAAAAGGAAUCAUUUCAAGCAGCAGUUAGAGAACCACAGAACUGGAAAUGCAGGAAUUUUCCUCAGCAACACAGGUUUUCUCCAUGCAUACUUUUCUGAGAUGUAACAAUUUCCCCAUCCACCCAAGCUCGAGAUAACCAGCUACCUGGAAAAGUUACCACUCAAACAGUCAAAAACUCGGUGUUAAAUCAGUUAUGUGCUUUUCUCCACAUAAACACUGAGGAUCUAAUAUAUAUAUAUCUUUAGAACAAUGAGCUGCAAUGGAGCAAGCUGAGAAAACAUUUACACUGAGAAAGGUGAGGUUGCUCCUGUGCAGCAAAAGAGGACCUCUUACCACACUUCGUGGGAGUGUGCACAGCCACACACCCAAUCUGUUCACACCUUUUUCUGCCUCCUUCUUCCCAUAGCUGAAGCAGAGGUCACUCCAUAGAAUGCAACUGGAGCAUGGCAGGGUUUGGCAAGUGCCUACCUGUAAGCGUUUGAGAUUGAAAGAUCGGCUGUGCCACAUUUAGCACCUUUGCAGCUGGGAAGGGGCUGGGGCUGGAUUGAGCACUACAUUCACAAACUCAGGGUGUAGUCUUUUACUUCUGCAGCCCUAGGCUGGAGGCAAAGAAAAAGCCAGCAGCCCUUGGUCCCGGUUCAGGCUGGAAGUGGUGUGGAAGGCACCGAGCAGGGAGGAAGUAAUGCUGUGAAUAGCUCCGAUUGUGUGCAUCUCCCGUCUCUGGUCUACUGAAAAGUUAAACAGGAAAAUGACAAUGAAAAGGCAGAAUCAUGGGAAAACGGGGCGCAAAAUUUGAUAGACAUUGCUACGAGCUUGAAGGAGAGAGACUUAAAAGGUCAGAGAGCAAAUGGAAAUGGCCACAAUCACCAGCGGGUGGCUGGAAGGUACGAUGAUGGACGCCAGUUUGACCCACAGGUCAGCAAACUGGUUUAGCUCUACCUUCAUCUACACAGAGCCAGACAAGUUCCCGGCUGCUAUCAAACAGCUCAAUGCCCUUAUCUGGAGGGGUUUAGUAAAAGGAAAUAAAUGACCAAAAGGAGCUAUUCAAUCUUCAAGUGCCGGGCUCUGCUGCUGAAAGAAAGAAAAAAAUUGUGUUCUUACAGAUCCCAGAGAAACACGGCAGCUCCUUCCCUGGAAGGAUGAGUUUGCCACUGCUCCAAAACAGAGAACUGGGCUCCCAGCCGGUGGCAUUUAGUGGCUGUUCCUUCAGAGGGGAUAUUGGAGAAGUAGCACUGGGGCCAUUCGUCUGUUUCCUUUUCAUUUGGUGCCCAUAAGGAAUAAAGUAGCAGGCAACAGUGCUUCUCACUCCCACAAUGGGAAUCUGGUGCUGGUACAUGGCUGCAUUUCCACAACAUUAAAUUAGUAAUGAUAAUAGUAAAGAGAGGAAAAAAUGCAGAGCAAACUGUUGCUUUGCUUUCGUAGAAAACUUUGCAGGCCCCCGAUGGCUGCAUCUGUAAUGACACACAUUCAGAAUGCAGCUCAGAGAAACUCAAGCAGAGCAAAUUCCGGUUCCAAUGCACCUUAAAAGUCCCUUCCAAGCCUUAUAACACUCAUAGCUCCCAAGCCCAAGUGCACUGGAGCCAAGCACCCUGCAUGCUUUUGCUACAUGUUUUAAUGCUGCUGUAGGGCUGUCACAGGAAUGUGCUUCCCUGUGUCCACACAAAGAUCUUUCUUCUAUGCCAAUUUUAGGCUCUAACCCCAAUCUCUCAGCACACCAAUAGUGUGCAACAUGAGGGGCCACAUUUCCCAAAGGAAUGACAUAUUCUCCCUGAUGUCAAGGUGCUAAUGUAAUGCUCUUGAGAUUCACUUCAAGGCGAAAACACAAAGACAACGCUUCCCAAUCAAGCAGGAGGUGGCAGAUUUAACUCCCCACUCCCCUGCACCUCUGUUCCCAGCUCAGGAAGUGCUUUGAUAAUGCCAGACACCCCACCCUGGCAACCCAAAACGUCCCAAACCCCCUGUCUGUCCCACUGGGGCUGCGGGAGUCACCAGUCCACAUGGCACAGCUCUGCCCAUGACCACCCAAACCUGGCUCCAAGUAUAGAGCCACCAAGCUCUUUUUAAAGAAAUAAUUAUCAUUCGAAUUCCCACAUCGCAUUGGCCUUUCUCAAUGUGAGAAAUGAU